rnacentral:miRNA from 1 species
UGAUGCUUUAAUUGAUGGAUAUUGCAAGGUUGGCAAGCUGGAAGAAGCUCAAGAGAUAUUUUCUAAGAUGUCCGAACAUGGGUACAGUCCAAAUGCUUAUACCUACAGCUCUUUAAUUGACAGGU